CUCUCUAGCGCGUUUUCGCGUUCUCACCUCUCGGGCGAUCGCCUCCUUUUGACUUCGUAGCGAUGGAGAAGAAGGACGAUCCGACAUUUUCCGGGAAACUGCUCGAUUCGCGUGUUCUUCUGACUCGCGACUCGUGAGGGAAUUUUUGCUCGGAUUCUGUUGCAGACGGUAGCGGCAUUCGUGAUUGCGGUGGUUGGGUAGGUGCGUGCGUCCUUUCGUCGAUUCCCCUGCGCCCGUCGAUCCCGGAACAAGGUUGAUCUCUUGUCAUAAUCAGUUCUUGCGGAUUAGGGUAAAAUGCGUGCACCGUCAUUGCUUGCACAGUGUUUACCUUGGUUCACGCCCCAUGACCGUGGGAGUCAGAAUGUGCCAUCUAUUCCGGAAAGAGCCUGCCUUCUCCAGCUGUGGAAAUUCUUCUGUCCAAGACAACUCAUCCUUACAAAUAUGCUGGAGAAAGUGUUGACAUGCAAGGUCUUACCGUAUUACCUGAACUUAAUAUGAUGGAGUCUUUCGGAACAAGCACCAAUCUCCUAAGUAACCCGGCUGUUACCCAUAACCUCGAAGCCCAGCUUUGAUGCUGACAG